GUGACGCCGCCCCAGACUCCGCCCCCUUCAGUUGCAGGAUGCAGGAAACGAGCGAGCGAGAGAGAGGAAAAACAACCAAAACAAACCCCUAAAAUCUGUAAUUCAGAAACCUGCUGGACUGAAACUGGAGCAAACCCCCCGGAACAAUGAGCUGGAUUCCCUUCAAGAUUGGCCAGCCCAAGAAACAGAUUGUUUCGAAGACGGUGGAGAGAGAUUUUGAAAGAGAAUAUAAGAAACUUCAGAAAUUGGAAGAUCAAACCAAGAAGCUUCACAAAGACAUGAAGAAAAGCACAGAGGCGGAUACAGCCAUGUCCAGGUCGGCGGUGAAGAUCUCAUCAGACCUGCUGUCCAACCCCUUGUGUGAGCAGGACCAGGCGUUCCUGGAGUCCAUGACUGCGGUGGACACAGCCAUGCGCAGGAUGGAUGCCUUCAACCAUGAGAAGAUGAGCCAUAUGGAUCGCAGCCCUCGGGCAGGCUAACAGAUUGUGUGGAUCUUCUCUCUCUGGGAGAAUCCUCACAGCAAGACCAGCACCACAUCCUGCCCCUCUCCCUUCCCCCCCAGUGUGAGUGUCUGCUUGGGGCUCUGAGGAGAUGUUUUCCGCAGCACUCUGUAAGCAGUAGUUCAGAUACAAAAGCUGCGAUACUACUGCAGAGGACGGUGCUUCUGUGCUUUCUUUAUAAUAGCAGUGUAUCCGAGUUAUGUCGUAAAGCCUAUUGGAGCAAGGCGUGUACGACCGAGUCCCGGCGCACACCUGGAUUCAAGUCAAGGCUCCUCCGACUCCUCCAGUGUGUGUAAAGUUCCUUGGCAAGCAUAGCGAAAGUUGCAAUCCUAGAUGUGACGUCAACCAGAUCCAGAAGACUGUCAUUGAUCCACUGAAAAAGUUCAGCAGCGUGUUCCCCAGCCUCAACAUGUGAAGUGAAGCG